UACGUAGGUGACCAGCGUUGUCCGGGUUUACUGGGCGUAAAGAGCGCGCAGGCGGUCGUUCAAGUCGAGUGUGAAAGCCCCCGGCUCAACUGGGGAGGGUCAUUCGAUACUGAUCGACUGGAAGGCAGGAGAGGGAAGCGGAAUUCCCGGUGUAGUGGUGAAAUGCGUAGAUAUCGGGAGGAACACCAGUGGCGAAGGCGGCUUCCUGGCCUGUUCUUGACGCUGAGGCGCGAAAGCUAGGGGGAGCAAACGGG
rnacentral:rRNA from 1 species